CUGAAUGAAAAUGAGGUGUGGUUAGGGCUGCAUAAACAUAAACAAAAGUGAUUUAACUCCUAAAUGGCAGAGAAUUGAGAAGUGAAACUUGAGGCAUGAUAUAUACACAAUAACUGCUUCAUAAAGCUAACAUUGUUUUGAUGGCUAGUGUCCCUUUAACUACUGCAUAAUAUGUGUGUGCUUAACAAAUGCUACGAUAAUAC